rnacentral:piRNA from 1 species
CCAUACUUCCCAGAACCUCACUCUUGCU